rnacentral:rRNA from 1 species
CAGCCGCCACGGGAAUACGAAGGGGGCUAGCGUUGCUCGGAAUGACUGGGCGUAAAGGGCGCGUAGGCGGCGGCCAAAGUCAGACGUGAAAUUCCUGGGCUCAACCUGGGGGCUGCGUUUGAUACUUGGUUGCUUGAGUGGGGAAGAGGGUCGUGGAAUUCCCAGUGUAGAGGUGAAAUUCGUAGAUAUUGGGAAGAACACCGGUGGCGAAGGCGGCGACCUGGUCCUUGACUGACGCUGAGGCGCGAAAGCGUGGGGAGCAAACAGGAUUAGAUACCCCUGUAGUCCCUGUCUCUUAUAC